GCAAUCAAGCUACUGGUAUUUAAGACCAGCACACUCAACAAAUCUUUGCCACAUCUACAGCUAACCAGUUAAUCCACACACUUCCCCAACAAUACUUACCUUCAUUAGGAUGCUGGUCUUUCUGCAAUCACGCAGUCUGGUUACGCUCCAUUCCUCUCUGCACACCGCCUGCCUGCCUCCCUGUCUUGGCUUCUGGAACUCAUUUGGUACAGUACGUUAUGGACUCACCCUGGAUUGGAACUCACCUGGACCUUUUGGACCGCCCUUCUUCCAUGUCGUUCUCCACCUGCAAAGAUGACUGUGCACACCUUCCCCUGAGCCACAGUCCCUCCUCCCCUUGGCCCUGUUUCAUGGACUUCAGUAUAAACUUUAGCUCACAGAUUAAGCUUCACAUUUUGACUUUUCAGGUUGUCUCAUUUCACAGUUCAUAGUCAG